rnacentral:rRNA from 1 species
CAAUAGCGUAUAUUAAAGUUGUUGCAGUUAAAAAGCUCGUAGUUGGAUUUCUGGCAGGAGCGACCGGUCACACACUCUGUGUGUGAACUUGUGUUGUCUCUGGCCGUCCUUGGGGAGAUCCUGUUUGGCAUUAAGUUGUCGGGCAGGGGACAUCCAUCGUUUACUGUGAAAAAAUUAGAGUGUUUAAAGCAGGCUUAUGCCGUUGACUAUAUUAGCAUGGAAUAAUAAGAUAGGACUUCGGAACUAUUUUGUUGGUUUGCGUUACGAAGUAAUGAUUAAUAGGGACAGUUGGGGGUAUUCGUAUUUCGUUGUCAGAGGUGAAAUUCUUGGAUUUCCGAAAGACGAACUACUGCGAAAGCAUUUACCAAGGAUGUUUUCAUUNA